CUUUGCGCCUCCCGCGCCUCCGAGCAGACGGGCGGAGGAGAGGCGAGUGGUUGUCAGGGAGAGUUCUGCCGCGUCCUCUUCAGCGCUGCUGGGGAAGCAGCGUCUCAGCCCCUGUGCAGGGAGGCGUCCUGCGUACCACUACUCUAACAAGUCGGCGCCGCGAGGGCUCAGGGCUGCCUAUUCUUGCCUUCUGGUCCUCCCCCUUUAACCGUGAAGGAAUCACGUGAGAGGCUACUCUACGCACACCAUAGGUCCGCUGAACUGUGGGGUGGGGCCUGAAACCGGGUCACCAAAGAAACCAGGCUCUGCUCUCUAGAGGAAGAUUUAACUUGAACCUGGACCGGUUCCGACUCCUUUCCCGAGCCCUCCUGACGUCACGGGACGUUCUGGGCCUUUUCCUGAACUAGAAUCGGACUACAGAUCCCGGCGUGCAUUGCGCGCUGCCACUCAUUGUAUUCGAGGCAUACUGGGAUUUGUAGUCUUGGAGGAAGGGCUUGAUGUGCCUGGGAUAUUGCAGAGGCGCACGCGGGGGCGGGGUUUUCCUGGCCGGGAGGGUCACCUUUACAGCACCUGACCCUCUUCAAUACUGUUGUCUGUAAAAAGAAACAACACACCCAAGAUGGAGUCACUUUGCUGCAGCAAUCUUGAGAAAGAAGAACAAAGUUGGAGGAAUCACAAUACCAAAUAUCAAGUUAUACUACAAAGCCACUGUACUCUAAACAGCUUGGCACAAGAACAGGCAUGUAGAUCAAUGGAACAGAACAGAGGCCCCAGAAAUCGAACCAAACCAUUAUGCUCAAUAUUUGACAAAGAAGUCAAGAGCUACAAUGGAGUAAAGACAGUCUCUUCAAUAAAUGGUGUUGGGAAAAUUGGACAGGUACAUGCAAAAAAAUGAAACUAGACCAUCAACUUACACCAUCCACAAGAAUAAACUCAAAAUGGAUAAAAGACCUAAGUAAGUUGUGAAACCAUAAAAAUCUUUGAAGAAACCAUAGGCAGCACAAUCUCAAGCAUCUCAAAUAUAUAGCAAUAUAUCUGCUGAUACACUCCUAGGGCAAAGGAAACUGAAGAGAAAAUAAACAAAUGGGACUACAUCGAAAUAAAAAGCUUCUGCACAGCCAAAGAAGCCAUCAACGAAGUGAAAAGAGAGCCUGCUUCAUGGGAGAACAUAUUUGCCGAUGCAUAUCCAUUCUUAUUCCGUUUGUCCUACCCCAUAUAAGCAGCUGGUUUAUCGGGGGUUGCAGAGCAGAUUGUGUGGGUGACCUGCUGCUCUCCCAAUUGAUGGCAUU